AUUGAACGCUAGCGGCAUGCCUUACACAUGCAAGUCGAACGGAGUGGCGAACGGGUGAGUAAUGUAUCGGAACGUGCCCAGUAGCGGGGGAUAACUACGCGAAAGGGUAGCUAAUACCGCAUACUAUUGGAGCGGCCGAGGUCGGAUUAGCUAGUUGGUGGGGUAACGGCUGACCAAGGCGACGAUCCGUAGCUGGUUUGAGAGGACGACCAGCCACACUGGAACUGAGACACGGCCCAGACUCCUACGGGAGGCAGCAGUGGGGAAUAUUGGACAAUGGGCGAAACCCUGAUCCAGCCAUGCCGCGGGUGCGAAGAAGGCCUUCGGAUUGUAAAGCACUUUUGGCAGGGAGGCGGUACCUGCAGAAUAAGCACCGGCUAACUACGUGCCAGCAGCCGCGGUAAUUC
rnacentral:rRNA from 1 species